GAGCUUUGGCAGCACAUACACUAAAACAGAAACAAGAAAGAAAGGAUUAUCAAACUCCCCGUACAAGGAUAACAUGAAAAUCUGAGGAGUGUUCCAUAUUUUU